GGAUCAUCAGGUUGGUCGUGCCACUGGUAUGUACUUGCCUCGGUGGUCCCUCCCUCUUGAAGAACCGUAAUGCCAUUAAUUUGGUGUUGCGGGGAAUCAGGACUGUUACUUUGAAAAAAUUAGAGUGUUUAAAGCAGGCAAACGCUUGAAUACAUUAGCAUGGAAUAAUGAAAUAGGACGUUUGAUCUUAUUUUGUUGGUUUCUAGGAUCGACGUA
rnacentral:rRNA from 3 species